AUGCGUCAUCGUAAAAUACGUUUGCUGGUCCAGUUCGGUUUGGUCCUCUUGGAUUCUUGGAAUGGAAUGUUUGUGAGCCGAAAACCUUCACACAGACUGUGUUAUCCUACCACACUCAAAAGGCGUGUAAAACUUAAAGUUCAAGUUGUUGACUCACAGUAAAUGGUCGCCACGGGCAAUGGGGAUGAAUGACUCGAGGUCCUCUUUUUGUUCGUCCUAAAUGUUUCCAGAUGAUGCCAUGCAACCACAGAAGACCGUCGUCAUGGGGGAUACUACAUUCAACAUCGACGUCAAGCCUUGUCAACUUGUAGAGAUCUAGAUCUAGAUAGAUCUAUUUCCAGCCUUGAGCUGGCAUUGAAAUUUUCGUCAAUAUGAUUCGGAGUCUGAAUCUGAUCGCUCGGUGGUAGAUGUCGUCACACCAGUGGUACGUGGUGGGCUCUGGAUUGUGACAGAUUCUAUUACUUCUAAAACAUGGAUUGGCCGAGAAUUUCAAAUCUUUUCAUCACUUGAUUGGAAUAGAUAGCGUUAGCGAGCCACUUGAGCGGUCCAGUGAGGCCACGUCCGUGAGCAAUUGCAGCUCACGGUAGGAAAAGUGUCAAUAAAGGAACACCCCCCUCCCCCACAGGAAAAAAAUAUCUGGCGUCGCCAGAUAUCAGUCAGCCCAAUAACUUACAGACUUACAGCCUGGCGAAUGCCUGAUCGGCUUUUAUUUAGUGAGGACUCACACUCAAGUCAUGACAGAUCGAAGGGAGAUAACUCAUUUCUUCAGUUAAUGAUUGGUAAACAAGUCCCUUUGAUGUUGGGCAGUCGGUGCUACAUGACUAAAUGUCAACAGAGGACAUGAAAACCUGGUUGUACCACCAGCCCCGCUGUACCGCCAACUUCUCAUGCUCUUUCCAAGAGUUACCUCUUGAGUGAAGAAGGACUUCCAAAUGAAAACAUCAGAGUACCAACACAUACGGUAGAAUUUAGUCUUACUCUUAAAAUUAAUGCACGUUGAAAAGUUUAAAAGAUAAUAUGAGAGAAGCUGAAGCUUUUUGCCAUUGCAUGCAUGGUGUCAGUUUAUUUCCUGCUAGCUGAAAGUUCAUUUUAUUGAGUAAAGUAAAGUGGAGUCCACACAUAAAAACUGAAGCAUGUCGUUGAUCUGAAAGGCCGCUGUAUACCGAAAGCAGACCUGCCACUCAUCCCGAUUUAGUCAGGAUAUCCCGAUUUUUUGCCCCAAAUCUCAAGCAUCCUGAUUUUCCCGAUUUCGAUCGCGUGUAUCCCGAUUUUUUGUCCCAGUCCGCUGUUGUGCCGGAUUUUUCA
rnacentral:lncRNA from 1 species